GAUGAACGCUGGCGGCGUGCCUAAUACAUGCAAGUCGAGCGAACAGACGAGGAGCUUGCUCCUCUGACGUUAGCGGCGGACGGGUGAGUAACACGUGGAUAACCUACCUAUAAGACUGGGAUAACUUCGGGAAACCGGAGCUAAUACCGGAUAAUAUAUUGAACCGCAUGGUUCAAUAGUGAAAGACGGUUUUGCUGUCACUUAUAGAUGGAUCCGCGCCGCAUUAGCUAGUUGGUAAGGUAACGGCUUACCAAGGCAACGAUGCGUAGCCGACCUGAUAGGGUGAUCGGCCACACUGGAACUGAGACACGGUCCAGACUCCUACGGGAGGCAGCAGUAGGGAAUCUUCCGCAAUGGGCGAAAGCAUGACGGAGCAACGCCGCGUGAGUGAUGAAGGUCUUCGGAUCGUAAAACUCUGUUAUUAGGGAAGAACAAAUGUGUAAGUAACUAUGCACGUCUUGACGGUACCUAAUCAGAAAGCCACGGCUAACUACGUG
rnacentral:rRNA from 1 species